CUUAUCAGGCUAUUUACAAUGUAAGCUAUAGGGCCCGUACCUCAGCCUCAAAACUUGAUAAAAACACUUAUCUCGCAGUGCAAGCACCUAUAGUUAGGAUACUAAGCCCACAGCCGGUGGACCCCCACGAAAAGGCAUUGAGACAUCGAGUACUACUCCAUUGCCUCCACUUUCCCGAAAAGCCCUCGCCUCCUCUCCUCGAGUUCUACUCGCGCUGCUUCGCCUCCUCCCACUCGGCCGCACACGCCGUCGCGCCUCCUUCCCUCGCCGCCCGGCGUGGUCGCCGCCCUCAACGCUACCGCCAGCGGCAGCGACUUGAGUUGAUUUGGGGUGGUUUGGAGGCGGAGGAGGAGGCGGCGGCCACGGAGGAGGCGACUCCCUGAAGCAGCCGUGGAGGUCGGCGACGAGGAGGAGGUCGUCGAGCAGCUGCUCCAUCCACGGCCGGCGGCGUGGAGCGGAGGAAUCGGUGGCGGGAGUUCUGUCCCCCCACCUCCUUCCCCUCCCUCUCUGUCCCUCACCUCCGGCGGCCGUGGCGGACUUGACGAGGAGGCCGUGGUCCUCUUCGCCGAUGCAUCCCGGGCUUGGAGGUGGCGGCCGACGGCGUGGUCCUCGUCGCCGAUGCAGCCCACCCCUGUGCUCGUCGUCUCCGCGGGCGCACGAGCACGCGCGGGGCUCUAACCUGUGCGGAACGAGGCGGGCGGCGGCGGACAGCAGGCUGCUGUGCGUGGGGAGUAGUGCCUCGGCGUCCUUCGCGGCGACGUUGUGGCCGAGACGGAGGUGGGGGUGGAGAAGAGCCGCGGCUGGGGGCGACGUCGACGCCGCCGGUACAGGCGACGCGGCAGGACGUGCAGGCCGCCAUCGCCAUGGCGGUCGAGCUGCGGGCGCUCCACGCCGCGGUGGUGGCGGCGGCGCCGGCGCCAGCCGCAGCCCGGCCUCCCGCCGGCCGCGUCCCCCGCGCUCUCCAGGACGGCAGCGGCAGCGGUGGCCACCGUUGGCGAGGACUACCCGGUGUUUACUCCGAUGGCAAUGACGACCACCGUCAGAGUCACCUGCGGAGGUGACGACGCGGAUGACGCGACGAAGACGGCGACGUCGGCGGCGGGGUUCCUCCCGGCGAGGUCCAUUGAAGAAGAAGAGAGGAUCAAGAAAGGGGACGGAAGAGAGAAGGCGAAGCUAUCGCUAUUCCGAUUUUCGAGGGCGAAUCCGGGAUUCCGCCUCCCGUCCGUCGCGAGGGCACGAGCGCGUCGGGGUCACGCGGUCCACAGCGCACGGGACUCUGUUUUUUGACGCCGCGCGUGGACCCGCCGAGAGAAGGAAUCGCGGUGCUCUGCUUGGGGGCGAGUCGCUUUGCUAGGGCGCGAUACCAUCCGCCACGUCGGUGUUUUUCCUAGCUGGCCGAGUGAAGCACCGGUCCAACUCACCGCACUGUGAGAGGCCUCACUGAGCCUAGGGCAGCUAAGGUGCCUCAGUUUAACCUUGCAAACCAUCUAAAUUAAGUUCUAAAGUUUGUACACACGUUUGGUUUUUAUCAAGCCUGUAUGUAGCUCUGUUGAUCAAAAUAUGCACUUUAUAAUGUUAACUUCCAUCUUGAUGUUAUGAGAGGUCUGUUGAAGCAAAUUCUGCCUUCUGCUUCUCACAUUAAACUAGUAUAUCUUUUGGUUGGUAGUUAUUCUUGAGAAUUAUUUAUGUAGCUUGGAUUACCAACCAUUUGAUGCCCUAUGUUCAUUUGAUGGUAACCUCUGUUUGCUUAGGCAGCUAGUAUUAAUUUUCAAGCCUGAAACAACAUUGCAUUGUUUUUAGGCACUGCCUGCUA